UACGUAGGGCGCGAGCGUUGUCCGGAAUUAUUGGGCGUAAAGAGCUCGUAGGCGGUUUGUCGCGUCUGCUGUGAAAACCCGAGGCUCAACCUCGGGCCUGCAGUGGGUACGGGCAGACUAGAGUGCGGUAGGGGAGAUUGGAAUUCCUGGUGUAGCGGUGGAAUGCGCAGAUAUCAGGAGGAACACCAAUGGCGAAGGCAGAUCUCUGGGCCGUAACUGACGCUGGAGGAGCGAAAGCAUGGGGAGCGAACAGG
rnacentral:rRNA from 1 species